UUCGAUCCGGCUCAGAUUGAACGCUGGCGGGAUGCUUUACACAUGCAAGUCGAACGGCAGCACGGACUUCGGUCUGGUGGCGAGUGGCGAACGGGUGAGUAAUGUAUCGGAACGUGCCUAGUAGCGGGGGAUAACUACGCGAAAGCGUAUCUACGCCUGCCCUUCGAAGCGGGGGACCUUCGGGCCUCGCACUAUUAAACCGGCCGAUAUCGGAUUAGCUAGUUAAUUGGGGUAACGGCUCACCAAGGCGACGAUCCGUAGCUGGUUUGAGAGGACGACCAGCUACACUGGGACUGAGACACGGCCCAGACUCCACCACGGGAGGCAGCAGUGGGGAAUUUUGGACAAUGGGGAAACCCUGAUCCAGCCAUCCCGCGUGUGCGAUGAAGGCCUUCGGGUUGUAAAGCACUUUUGGCAGGAAAGAAACGGCACGGGAUAAUACCCCGUGCAACUGACGGUACCUGCAGAAUAAGCACCGGCUAACUACGUGCCAGCAGCCGGUAAUACGUAGGGUGCAGCGUUAAUCGGAAUUACUGGGCGUAAAGCGUGCGCAGGCGGUUCGGAAAGAAGAUGUGGAAAUCCCAGAGCUUAACUUUGGAACUGCAUUUUUAACUACCGAGCUAGAGUGUGUCAGAGGGAGGUGGAAUUCCGCGUGUAGCGGUGAAAUGCGUAGAUAUGCGGAGGGACACCGAUGAAGGCAGCCUCCUGGGAUAACACUGACGCUCAUGCACGAAAGCGUGGGAGCAAACGGGAUUAGAUACCCUGGUAGUCCACGCCUAAACGAUGUCAACUAGCUGUUGGGGCCUUCGGGCCUUGGUAGCCACAGCUAACGCGUGAAGUUGACCGCCUGGGAAGUACGGUCGCAAGAUUAAAACUCAAAGGAAUUGACGGGACCGCACAAGCGGUGGAUGAUGUGGAUUAUUCGAUGCAACGCGAAAAAACCUUACCUACCCUUAACUUGUCUGGAAUCCCGAAGAGAUUUGGGAGUGCUCGCAAGAGAACCGGAACACAGGUGCUGCAUGGCUGUCGUCAGCUCGUGUCGUGAGAUGUUGGAUUCGUCCCACAACGAGCGCAAACCCUUGUCAUUAGUUGCUACGAAAGGGCACUCUAAUGAGACUGCCGGUGACAAACCGGAGGAAGGUGGGGAUGACGUCAAGUCCUCAUGGCCCUUAUGGGUAGGGCUUCACGUCAUACAAUGGUGGGGACAGAGGGUCGCCAACCCGCGAGGGGAGGGCCAAUCCCCGAAACCCGAUCGUAGUCCGGAUCGCAGUCUGCAACUCGACUGCGUGAAGUCCGGAAUCGCUAGUAAUCGCGGAUCAGCAUGUCGCGGUGAAUACGUUCCCGGGUCUUGUACACACCGCCCCGUCACCAUGGGAGUGGGUUUACCGAAGUAGUUAGCCUAUUAACCGUAAGGAGGGCGAUUACCACGGUGAUGAAGAUUCAUGACUGGGGUGAAGUCGUAACAAGGUAA
rnacentral:rRNA from 1 species